CCUACGGGAGGCAGCAGUGGGGAAUAUUGCACAAUGGGGGAAACCCUGAUGCAGCGACGCCGCGUGAGUGAAGAAGAAUUUCGGUACGUAAAGCUCUAUCAGCAGGGAAGAAAAGGACGGUACCUGACUAAGAAGCCCCGGCGAUCGACGGGCCAGCAGCCGCGGUAAUACGUCGGGGGCAAGGGUUAUCCGGAUUUACUGGGUGUAAAGGGAGCGUAGACGGCAGCGCAAGUCUGGAGUGAAAUCCCAUGGCUUACCCAUGGAACUGCUUUGGAAACUGUGCAGCUGGAGUGCAGGAGAGGUAAGCGUACUUCCUCGUGUUGCGGUGAUCUGCGUAGUUAUUAGGCG
rnacentral:rRNA from 1 species